rnacentral:rRNA from 1 species
GACGAACGCUGGCGGCGUGCUUAACACAUGCAAGUCGAACGAUGAACCGGGUGCUUGCACUUGGGGAUUAGUGGCGAACGGGUGAGUAACACGUGAGUAACCUGCCCUGGACUCUGGGAUAACCCCGAGAAAUCGGAGCUAAUGCCGGAUAGGACCUUUCCUCGCAUGAGGUUUGGUGGAAAGUUUUUCGGUCUGGGAUGGACUCGCGGCCUAUCAGCUUGUUGGUGAGGUAAUGGCUCACCAAGGCGUCGACGGGUAGCCGGCCUGAGAGGGUGACCGGCCACACUGGGACUGAGACACGGCCCAGACUCCUACGGGAGGCAGCAGUGGGGAAUAUUGCGCAAUGGGCGCAAGCCUGAUGCAGCAACGCCGCGUGCGGGAUGACGGCCUUCGGGUUGUAAACCGCUUUUAGUAGGGAAGAAGGGCUUCGGCUUGACGGUACCUGCAGAAAAAGGACCGGCUAACUACGUGCCAGCAGCCGCAGUAACAC